UCUGAUGGUCUAUAUCCCUUCAGUAUACUAAACGCGUUUUAUGCUUUAAUUACCCACCAUGCCAUUGGUUAACAUCCUCACCAACAGGUCGCUGCCCUCUGCUCUCUCGCGACCACGCCCUCGGGGCAGUUUUCCAUUGCCCAGCGCCCCACACCUUGCCCCACCUCUUCCCUCCCCGCCAGCCACCGCCUGCCUCCAUCUGCACGCGUCGCCGGACCGCCGCGUCCACACGUAGCCCGGACUGCCGCCCACGCUCCAGGCGCCCGGUCCGCCACGCCCACGCUUGAGGCGCCCAGGCCGCCCCAUCCACGCUCCAGGCGAACCGCGGCGCCCACGCUCCAGGCUCCCGGGCCGCCCCCUCCAUGCUCCAGGCGGACCACGGCGCCAUAGCUCCAGGCGCCCGGACCGCCACGCUCACGCUCCAGCCGCUCGGGCCGCCGCGUCCACGCACCGCCCGGUCACAGGCACCGCCGGUCCUCCACACUGCAGGAUGAGCAAGAGUAAUCCAGACAAAGUUCCAGGAACGACUACGCAUCGUUCCCCAUUUAAAGACAUAACGAACUCGUCUAUGAUUGAGAAUGCAAAUGUCACUACUAAUAGUCAAGAAGCAAAAAAGAAUACAUUGUAUGCCCGAAUGUCUGAUGAGAAGAGAGCAACAUUCCUUGAAAAACGUUGUAUGUCCCGACAAGAAAAGAAGUCUCAGGCUCUGAAUAUUGUUAAUGGUCAACUAACAGUUGAGGCACAUGCUCCGUUAGGAUCCAAGGAAUGUACACCUUUGAGAAACAUAACCAACACACACACAAAUGGUAUGUUCAUACUCUGCAUAUCAUAAUUAUUGAAUGACCAUUUGCUCAUUUUGCUAGGAGUUUGUCUCCUGCGUUGUGCCAGAUGCAACAUGUACUGAAGCCGUAGGACGCCCUUGAACAGCGGGAUCUGCCGCCUCCCUUGGACUUCGCCGGCAAGGCGUGAUCCGUCGUCGCCACCCACUCCUCCCAUGGGAGGAUGCGGCUGCUAUCAUCAACCUCCGCUCCAUGGGCGUGCUCCCAAAUUCAAUAUGUUAGAUUUGCAGAGACUGAUGUUGCAUGACGCAAGAAGAAACAUGUGGUUCUGUUGCGAAUCACCGCAGCGAUGCAGUAAGUUUCCAGAUUGAUGCUACUGUUACUGCACAUGAGGGAAUACAUGGUUAUUAUUUUGACCAUAUAGGUGCCAUGGAAACUGGAGAAUUUUUAUCUACUAUACUUGUUCGUUGCCUGCAUCAUAUUGCAGUUCCAAAGUCCACAUAAGGUAUUCCAUUAACAUUUCGUAUACCAUUUUUCCGCCACUCGAUCACAUAAUGAAUAUCAUGAACAUUCAUACCAAGUUAUUUUGUGUCCUAUCAGGAAUUUUAAAUAAUACAUAAUUCAUUGGCGUGUACUCUGUCAUAGGAUGUUGCUUUACAUGUAAGAUUUUUAUCCCCUUUCUAAAGCUAAUGAUGAAGAUAAUCCUUUUCUGGAAUUAAGCUUCAUUUAGAGUGGAUAAUGUAUGGUUGUGCAUAUGUUGUGUAUUUUUUAUAUUAGAUGCAUAAACUUUUCUGGUAUUAAAACAAGUGAGAUUGGUUACAAAUAAACAAGUUAGUUCAGCAGCAUUCACGUUUUACAACUGGAAUCAUUUUUGCCAGAGUUAUUCCGACCUUUUGGCAAAGUGAUUGAAUUUUUCCUUUGCACUGCAGUUUGGGCGCACCAUGUUUUAACUGAGAAGGCAGUUGUUGGUACAGUUAGAGUUCAAAGAGGUCCUUCGACGAGGGUGUGUCAAAACUCAGCUAGGCGCUUCGAUGUCAACUGUGAAAUGGUCUUUUUUGUCCCAGUAAAGGUUGGAGGUAGAAUCAGCUUCAAUCUCGAGUACCCAAUUGUAGAGAAGACGAAAGGAGGCACAACAUAUAUGGAAGAUGGUAACCAGAUAAUGAAGCAAUUUUUGGUGCACCUACUCAACUACAUCAACAGUGAAGCUGCACACAACAUUUCGGAUGUUUGAGAGAAUUGAUCAGCUUCAUCAGGAAAUACUGCUAUAAUUUUUUGGCUCUAUGAAUAAGAUGAGUCGAUGAUACAUUGAAGUGUCUUCUUGAUUUAUAAUAGUACUUUUUAGUGCAAUUAAAAUAUCUUUCUGGGUAUGUUAAUUCUUACAUAUAUAUUAGUUGAGACGUGCAUUUGCACGGGCACGCUUACUAGUAAGGAAAGAAAAGCAUUGAAUAGGAAAGAGAGUUGAUUGCAGAUUCGUUUUUCCUUUGGAGCCCUGUUUCUUUUCGUGGUAAAAUAGCAAAAAAAAAAGGUGUGGCAGAUCUGUUGGGAUUUGGGACGUGAUCCUUCCCACGUGUGUUGUUUGACUUUGGAAAGAAUCAGAAUAAAAAGAGAGAGGACGACUUAAUUGGUAGAGUUCGGAAGGAAAUAACGUGAGUUAUCUCUACUACUAUUAAACAAGCAAACAUAUUCUUUUCUAAACGCACCCCAUCAAACGUACACACAAUAAUUUCAGACUAUUAGAGCCACACGAUUAGGGAUACUCAUUUAGAUCUAGCCGUCAGAAUAACAACUAGCCCUCAACCAAAAGUACAUCUAUCAAUUUUAGUGGGCGGACGAAAACUCUGCCGGCCAUCGUACGCACGAGCGAACGAAAAGUUCUCGACACCCACCUAAUCUCACCCCUAAAUUAGCGCUAACCUCCCAAUCUCACCCCAAAUUUAGCGCUAACCUCUCUGGUCGCACAAAUCUCCUCCAAGCAGAGUGGACGCGCCGUGGGCGGCCACUGGCGAUGAGGUCGCGCGCGAUCCCGCGCGGCGCGGCGGCUCCCGCUCCACCUCGCCUCUCCGGCUGCACAGGUCUCCUCCCUAGGCACGACGUGGGUGCACGCAGACGCAGGGCGGUCGCCGGCGAACGAGGCCGCACGCGAGACCGCGGCGAGGCGGCGCGGAGCCCUUUGCUCCCUCCAGUUUGUGAUCUGCUCAUCUGCAUCGGUCACCUCCAUCGCCACCGCGAGUCACCUCCUCCUCCGCCGCCAGGAAUCCCAUUGACGGCAAGGUAACUGCCCUCCCCGGUCAUCACGCCCUGCUUGCUGCGUGUGUGUGGUGUGCUGUGUGGGUGCUUAAUGCUGAGUGCUUUCCAGCUUGUCGCUGAUGGCCCGCUGCUGUUGCUUUGUUGUAUAGUAGUAUGAUUUUUGAGUCAGACUAUGAUCCAUGCACUUAAGGGAAGGGAUUAUGAUGCUGCUGAACUGGGAGUCCUUUAUCUUGAAGCCAGAAGUUUGGUAUUGGCUGAUGUUCCCCUUAGCGUUUGGGCAUUUCAAGCCCCUUACUUAAGCGAUUUUACGUGUGCACAAGUUUAAGUGGAAUACAUUUUUCUGUUCAAGAAAAACUUGCUUUAUUAAUUUGUUUUAUCUGGCGAUGGAGUGAUGGUGCACGAGGACGGACUUCCUAGAUAAGAAAAUGUCUGUGCUCUUCUCGAUGGUGCAAAGUUGAGGUGUUCUCAAAUCUCAAUGACCUAUUCUUUUUUACUACUCACUCUUGAAUGUUCCUUUUUUUUUUGUUUUUGUCUAUUCUUAUGUUCUUUGUUUCCGAUUUCAACUUUCCAAGGAUUUAGUUAAAAAAAAUCAUCUCUACUACUAUUAAACAAGCAAACAUAUUCUUUUCUAAACGCACCCCAUCAAACGUACACACAAUAAUUUCAGACUAUUAGAGCCACAUGAUUAGGGAUACUCAUUUAGAUCUAGCCGUCAGAAUAACAACUAACCCUCAACCAAAAGUACAUCUAUCAAUUUUAGUGGGCGGACGAAAACUCUGCCGGCCAUCGUACGCACGAGCGAACGAAAAGUUCUCGACACCCACCUAAUCUCACCCCUAAAUUAGCGCUAACCUCCCAAUCUCACCCCAAAUUUAGCGCUAACCUCUCUGGUCGCACAAAUCUCCUCCAAGCAGAGUGGACGCGCCGUGGGCGGCCACUGGCGAUGAGGUCGCGCGCGAUCCCGCGCGGCGCGGCGGCUCCCGCUCCACCUCGCCUCUCCGGCUGCACAGGUCUCCUCCCUAGGCACGACGUGGGUGCAUGCAGACGCAGGGCGGUCGCCGGCGAACGAGGCCGCACGCGAGACCGCGGCGAGGCGGCGCGGAGCCCUCUGCUCCCUCCAGUUUGUGAUCUGCUCAUCUGCAUCGGUCACCUCCAUCACCACCGCGAGUCACCUCCUCCUCCGCCGCCAGGAAUCCCAUCGACGGCAAGGUAACUGCCCUCCCCGGUCAUCACGCCCUGCUUGCUGCGUGUGUGUGGUGUGCUGUGUGGGUGCUUAAUGCUGAGUGCUUUCCAGCUUGUCGCUGAUGGCCCGCUGUUGUUGCUUUGUUGUAUAGUAGUAUGAUUUUUGAGUCAGACUAUGAUCCAUGCACUUAAGGGAAGGGAUUAUGAUGCUGCUGAACUGGGAGUCCUUUAUCUUGAAGCCAGAAGUUUGGUAUUGGCUGAUGUUCCCCUUAGCGUUUGGGCAUUUCAAGCCCCUUACUUAAGCGAUUUACGUGUGCACAAGUUUAAGUGGAAUACAUUUUUCUGUUCAAGAAAAACUUGCUUUAUUAAUUUGUUUUAUCUGGCGAUGAAGUGAUGGUGCACGAGGACGGACUUCCUAGAUAAGAAAAUGUCUGUGCUCUUCUCGAUGGUGCAAAGUUGAGGUGUUCUCAAAUCUCAAUGACCUAUUCUUUUUUACUACUCACUCUUGAAUGUUCCUUUUUUUUGUCUAUUCUUAUGUUCUUUGUUUCCGAUUUCAACUUUCCAAGGAUUUAGUUAAAAAAAUCAAGGAUUGUUCUUCUCAUGCCUUCUGUUGGUUGUUCAAGGAUGGUGCUGAAAUUUUGGGAGAGAUGGAGAACAUGGAGCCUUGGGUAGCUGAAGUACAUCCUUCCUUAAGCGUAAGAUGCGUUCUGGUUCAUAGGUAAAUCAUGAAGCAAAACUUUGUUGCUUUUUCAAUUUUUCUCUAUGAAGCAAGAUGGUCUGCAUUUUAACAGUACACGAAUAUAAAAUAGGGAUGGUUAAAACAAUGGCUCAAGUUUUGAUUUGAUAGUUAAAACAAUGUUAAAAAAUAGGAUUGUUUUGUGCUCUCUUCGGAUAUUAAUCCAAUUAGGCUUAGCGGUAUAUGAAUGCACAAGCUCUUUAGGAAAGCCAAAAGAGAAAAUGGAAAACUAUUACAUGUCUAUUUGUCCAAACAACGUAAAUCGAGACUUCUAUCUUGCCAAAACCUCUUAUUAUUGCGUUCAUUUUCUUCCUAUUGUUUACAUUGUCACCUCUUUGUUGGUUGUUGUUUGGUGCCAAGGCCAUUAGAAAAGAGUAAUGCCUCAAACAAGGUAGUUCUGAAGAUAGAACUCAGGGUAGCUACCAUCGAUGAUGCUUUCCAGCAAGCUCCUGGGUGACUACUCGAUGCCGACCAUUGUUGGUUUCCUUCAUGGCUAUUGUAAAAUGAUGAUUCAUAUAUCACAUGCUCUUUAUUGGUAUUGGCAUGCCUGUAUCACUUCACUUUUGUUCCUUUCUUAGGGGUUGCAAGAAACAUAUACUAAUGGUUACGGGCAGAGGAGCAAAUAAGAGAAAUUACAAUGUCACAACUAUUCUCAGUUAUGAGAAUACUGAAACGGAUAUAGACUGAUGAGAUGAUGUUCAUACAUGUUGAAGCAGGUUUCGGAAAGAAGUAAUGGAUAUAGAACUAACUAUGCUCAUCCUGUUGGUAGGACAUUCUCAUAGAUCGUUUUUUUUCUUGUUCUGGUUGUCAUAUGCUAAAGGCUGUGUACCUAUGAAAAAAGAAGAUACUUCAAAUUUUUUAUGUAGUACUUGGUGUAUGUGUGCUCAUGAGGUGUCCGGGUACUCAUGAUGUAACAUUAGAUUUUUGUUAUGUUCUAAUUUUCUUACCCUUGCAGUACCAACAAUGUAUACAGUACUCCGAUACUGCUAGCGAAGUGAUUUUUCUUUUAAUUGUUUUUC